rnacentral:rRNA from 1 species
GCCUCCGACCGCUUACCGGAGGCAGCAGUGGGGAAUAUUGCCCAAUGGGCGCAAGCAUGAUCCAUCCAUGCCGCGUGACUCAUUAAGGCCGUAGGGAUGGUAAAGCUCUUUCACCGGUGAAGAUAAUGCCGGUACCCGAAAAAAAAGCCCCGGUUAAUUUGGUGCCACCACCCGCGUUAAUCCGAAGGGGCCAAGCGUUGUUGGAAUUUACUGGGCGUAAAGCGCACGUAGGCGGUCUUUUAAGUCAAGGGUGAAAUCCCGGGGCUCACCUCCGGAACUCGCUCUCUAUGAUACUGCAAGUUUUGAGUAUGGUAAAGGUGAGUGAAAUUCCGAGUGUACAGGUGAAAUUCGUAAAUAUUCGAAGGACCCCCAGUGGCAAAGGCGGCUCCUUGGCCCAUUACUGCCGUUAAGGUGCAAAAGCUGUGGGAGACCAACCAGGAUUAGAUCCCUCGUGUAUAUGUCCACCCGCUGUAACAGCAUAGUGCAAUGUAUACCC